UAACACUCUAGUGAAUUCAUUUUAUUUGCACUGCUGUUGACAACUAUGAUACUGCAUACAAUAUAAAGUGACUCGUGACAUAAGACACUAAACAUUCGAUAAACCUUGCUUUCAUUUAAUAAAGUGAGAAUUCAAAGUGAAUUUUAAAUUAAAGGGUGGCUAUAAGACCUACAAGCAUUCCUGACUGAGAAUGUUUCAAGUUCAGCUAUUUUGCACUUAAAUGUUAAAUUUACUUUGAAUUCACUUUUAAUUCUUGCUUCAGUGAAUAACCUUGUCUGUAAAAUAGUAUCCAAUUCUAUAUGGCACAAGGCAUUCUAGUAAAUGGAAUAUUGGUUCUUGCCUUCCAACUGCUCGACUCUGUGAAGUAAGAAUUGCAACACUUUAAUUGUAUGCUUUGCUUCUGAAAAUAAAUAGUACAAAACAAAAGACAUAAAAGUUUUAUGAACAGU